rnacentral:rRNA from 1 species
AUGAACGCUGGCGGCGUGCCUAAUACAUGCAAGUCGAGCGAACAGACGAGGAGCUUGCUCCUCUGAAGUUAGCGGCGGACGGGUGAGUAACACGUGGAUAACCUACCUAUAAGACUGGGAUAACUUCGGGAAACCGGAGCUAAUACCGGAUAAUAUAUUGAACCGCAUGGUUCAAUAGUGAAAGACGGUUUUGCUGUCACUUAUAGAUGGAUCCGCGCCGCAUUAGCUAGUUGGUAAGGUAACGGCUUACCAAGGCAACGAUGCGUAGCCGACCUGAGAGGGUGAUCGGCCACACUGGAACUGAGACACGGUCCAGACUCCUACGGGAGGCAGCAGUAGGGAAUCUUCCGCAAUGGGCGAAAGCCUGACGGAGCAACGCCGCGUGAGUGAUGAAGGUCUUCGGAUCGUAAAACUCUGUUAUUAGGGAAGAACAAAUGUGUAAGUAACUAUGCACGUCUUGACGGUACCUAAUCAGAAAGCCACGGCUAACUACGUG